GCUAAAGUUACAAAGGCUAGGCCUAGCGUGGUGGCUCACGCCUGUAAUUCCAACACUUUGGGAGGCUGAGGCAGGCAGAUCAUUUGAGGUCAGGAGUUCAAGACCAGGCUGGCCUACAUGGCGAAAAUCCCAUCUCUACUAAAAAUACAAAAAUUAGCCAGGCAUGGUGGCAGGCACCUGUAGUCCCAGCUACUAGGGAGGCUGAGGCAGGAGAAUUGCUUGAACCCGGGAGACGGAGGUUGCAGUGAGCUGAGAUCAUGCCCCUUCUACUCCAGCCUGGAUGACUGAGCCAGACUUUGUCACAACAACAACAACAACAACAAUGUAACAAAGGCUAAUCACCAAUUAAAAUAACAUUGUGAUAAAAGACUCUUUAAGAUUAUUUUUGACUUGAACCAUAUUGAAAAUGAUGUUGACUCUGUCUGAAGACUUUUGAGGACAAAGCUCAUUUUAUAACACAUAUUUUAAUUGCAUUGCCUGGCAUGAUGCUGUGUGUCUGCUCAGUCCUGUUCUCAGCCCCCCUUCUGAAAAAAAAAAUUCUUUUUGGACUACAUAGAACUGGCUAUGAUUGUAAACCGUAUCACUCAAUCUGAAUUUCUAGCUUCUCUUUCUUUUAAUAUCUGCUGUAUAAAAUGGUGACAAAAUAUUUCGUAGUCAUUUAUUAUGUGUUGAAUGGCAUUCCUUCCGAAAAAAAGAUAUGCCUAACUCCUAACACCUGGUACCUGUGAAUGUAAUCUUAUUUGAAAAUAGGAUCUUUGCAGAUACUCUUCUUCAGAUAAGAUCAUCUUGGAUUGAUGGCCUCUAAAUUCAAAAUGAGAUCCUUAUAUGAGAACACAGUGGGAUGUUUGAGACAUAUACAUACAGAAGAGUGAGACAGAGUGGAAGAUCAUGUGAGGACAGUGGCAGAGAUUAGUUACUCAGCUACAAGCCAAGGAACACCAAGGAAUGCCAGCAGCAACCAGAAGCUAGGAAAGAGUCGAGGAACCUUGCCUUUUAGAGCCUGCAGAGGAACCAACCUGCCAAUGCCUUGAUGUUAGACUUCCAGCUUCCAGAAGUGUGAGAGAAUAAAUUUUUGUUGUUAGAAGCUACCAUGUUUUGGCAAUUUGUUACAACAGUCCUGGGAAACGACAGGUAAAGAAAAAUAAGAGAUGGAAGACACUAAAAGGAGGCCAGCUUUGCGAAGAAUAGAGAGGAGUCAGCACAAACUCCUGCAACUACUUCGCAAAAGUAAGCCUCAUUCACAAAUGUAUUAUCUGUUCAACACCAGUUUAUACUCAAGAUCACAUGCAAUUAAUACUUUAGAAAACGAUGAACAAAUAUCAGCAUACUCUCAAACAAUAGAGGUCAAUGAUAUUUUAGUUUUGCUCAGCUGGAUUGCAGCACUCUUCAUGCAGCAGACAGAAGUAUUUUCAGCAGAGGUGGAUGUUGUUUCAACAUCCUGGAGGAUGAAAGGGGAAAGCUCUAGUUACCAUCUGCCCUAAUAGUCAAAGGCACUAAAAUUGACAAAGGGUUCAACCACUUUCAUUCAUUUAGAAUUGCUCCAUCCAAUAUGGUAGCCACUAGCCACACAGAGUUCUUUAAAUAUGAAUUAGCUAAAAUUUUGAAAAGUGAAAUUUUAGUUCCUUAGCUGUUACACUGGUCACUCUCCAAGUGCCCAAAGGCCGCUUGUGAGCAUACAAAUGUUUCUAUCAUUGCAGAAUGAUGUAUAGGCCAAAGCUAAUCCUGGGAAUAACACCAUGCCUGACAUUUUAAUCUUUUUAAAAUCUUUAAAAGCAUGACCUAUAUUUUGUCUGAACUUAAUUAGAUAAAUUUUUCAUUUUAUUUUCAUCUAAGGGAGAAAAGUUUCAUUUAGAUUUAGGGUAUUAACUGGCUCAUUUGACAAGGUACAGCAAGAACUGGC
rnacentral:lncRNA from 10 species